UACGAAGGGGGCUAGCGUUGCUCGGAAUUACUGGGCGUAAAGCGUGCGUAGGUGGUUCGUUAAGUCUGAUGUGAAAGCCCUGGGCUCAACCUGGGAAUGGCAUUGGAAACUGGCGAUCUAGAGUGCGGUAGAGGGUAGUGGAAUUCCCGGUGUAGCAGUGAAAUGCGUAGAGAUCGGGAGGAACAUCUGUGGCGAAGGCGACUGCCUGGACCAGCACUGACACUGAGGCACGAAAGCGUGGGGAGCAAACAGGGA
rnacentral:rRNA from 1 species